rnacentral:rRNA from 1 species
UACGAAGGGGGCUAGCGUUGCUCGGAAUCACUGGGCGUAAAGGGUGCGUAGGCGGGUCUUUAAGUCAGGGGUGAAAUCCUGGAGCUCAACUCCAGAACUGCCUUUGAUACUGAGGAUCUUGAGUUCGGGAGAGGUGAGUGGAACUGCGAGUGUAGAGGUGAAAUUCGUAGAUAUUCGCAAGAACACCAGUGGCGAAGGCGGCUCACUGGCCCGAUACUGACGCUGAGACGCGAAAGCUGGGGGAGCAAACGGGG